UCGAGUGGGUUUAGACCCACGGCAAACGGGUGAGUAAUACCUAGGAACAUCCCUUAAGUUGAGCAUAACCAGUCGAAAGAUUGGAUAAUACUCAAUGUGGUCGCAAGACUAAAGUCGCAAGACGCUUAAGGCGUGGCCUGGGCACCAUCAGCUAGUUGGUAAGGUAAUGGCUUACCAAGGCUAUGACGGUUAGGGGCCCCGAGAGGGGAGACCCCCACACUGGAACUGCGACACGGUCCAG
rnacentral:rRNA from 1 species